UACGAGGGGGGCGAGCGUUGUUCGGAAUUAUUGGGCGUAAAGGGCGCGUAGGCGGUUUGGUAAGUCUUAUGUGAAAUCUAUGGGCUCAACUCAUAGUCUGCAUGAGAAACUGCCGGGCUUGAGUAUGGGAGAGGUGAGUGGAAUUCCUGGUGUGGCGGUGAAAUGCGUAGAUAUCGGAAGGAACACCAGUGGCGAAAGCGGCUUCCUGGUCCGACACCGACGUUCAGGCACGAAAGCGUGGGGAGCAAACAGG
rnacentral:rRNA from 1 species